rnacentral:rRNA from 1 species
CCCGCACAAGCGGUGGAUGAUGUGGAUUAAUUCGAUGCAACGCGAAAAACCUUACCUACCCUUGACAUGCCCGGAGCCUCGCAGAGAUGUGAGGGUGCCCGAAAGGGAACCGGGACACAGGUGCUGCAUGGCUGUCGUCAGCUCGUGUCGUGAGAUGUUGGGUUAAGUCCCGCAACGAGCGCAACCCUUGCCACUAGUUGCUACAUUCAGUUGGGCACUCUAGUGGGACUGCCGGUGACAAACCGGAGGAAGGUGGGGAUGACGUCAAGUCCUCAUGGCCCUUAUGGGUAGGGCUUCACACGUCAUACAAUGGCGCGUACAGGGGGUUGCCAACCCGCGAGGGGGAGCUAAUCCCAGAAAGCGCGUCGUAGUCCGGAUUGCAGUCUGCAACUCGACUGCAUGAAGUCGGAAUCGCUAGUAAUCGCGGAUCAGCAUGUCGCGGUGAAUACGUUCCCGGGCCUUGUACACACCGCCCGUCACACCAUGGGAGUGGGUUUCACCAGAAGCAGGUAGCCUAACCGCAAGGAGGGCGCCUACCACGGUGAGAUUCAUGACUGGGGUGAAGUCGUAACAAGGUAACC